CAAAUGGUAAGAAUCAAAAUUUGUAGACAAACGGGAGUAACUAUUUAGUUUUCCUGUUUUACAUUAUUAUCUAUCUUUCUCAUUCUUGACAUUUUUCCAAAAUGAGAGCAACAUGGAUGCACCACAAACCCAUGAAGCAAAAGAUGCCUUAAUUGAAGAUGAUAACGUGAUUUCAAUAGAAGAUAUGACACACCGGAGUUUUGCUCAGUCGGUAGGGAUAUUACAUAUUAUAUGUAGGGUCUGAGUUUGAACCCCGGACACACCACUUCUCCAUAAUUAAAUUGUGAAUUCUAGCAAAAAAAAAAAAAAAAAAAGAUAUGACACACCAUACAUGUCUCACACAAAAAUCAGUUUAGCAUUAAAAAAUAAACCUAAUAUGUUAAAAUGAUAACAAGAAUAAGAACCCAACCCAGCCUGUAUGUAGAACAAAAUGUACUCAUAUUCAAUCCACAGCACAUAAUUACAAUCAGACUUGAAAAACUGAAUACUAAAAAGUGGUUAUUCAUCCUAUAAAAGGCGAAAAAUGAUUCAAGGCCAAAAGGAGAAAACUCAUUUAUGUAACCACUUUUGAUCAAAGAAUGAUCUCAUAUGUCAGAGAUUAUGUGGAGAUAUUUGUAGAAAUGAACAAAAAUAUACCAAAUGAAAAAAAAUGGGGUAUGCUUUAAUAUACUAAUAGUAAAAGAGAACGAGGUUAAAACAAUUUAAUGUAUUCAAUGCACAUAAAAAGAAUUCCCUCAUUCACAUUUUGACAUUUGACGUGAAGAAAGAAUAUGAUUAUAAUAGGAUAAUUUUGUAACCAAAAAAAUAGGAUAAUUUGAAUUUUUCAUUAGGAAUAUUUGUUUUUAUUUGUCAGGUAGCCUAGUGGUUAGAAUUCAUCUUAUAAGGUGAAUAAGUGGGAGGUGUCCGGAGUUCGAACUCCGAUCACUGCAUAUAAUAAUGCAUUGUCCUACCAACUGAGUUAUGCUCACGGGACAAAAGGGAAUAUUUGUAUUAGAGUUCAAUUAACAGACUGGAUUAAAAACACAUACAAGAUUGAUUUAAUUGAUCAUUCGGUCUUUUAACUUAAUUCUUUUUUUCACAAUGACCCAUAACUAAAAACAUCUCAAACUGAUCCCUUAUAUACUAUGCUGUUAUCUAUUUUAGUCCUUUCCGUUAGUUUUUAACCCUAAAUAUCUAAGAUGAAUCAACAUUAUAUGUGGUCCACCAUAUACCUUAUUAAAAUUUUAAUUUUAACCCUUUGAUCUUUUUUAAAAAAAGAGAACCCUUAGAUCAUGAAGAUGGAUUGUAGCUAAUAGUGAACCACCUACAACUAAAUUUGUUUCUCUUUCUUCAUCUUCUUCCUUCCUAUCCUUCAACAUAAUCAUCAUACCAACCCAUAAACAAAAACAAAAACACACAAACCCAAAAGAAGAAGAAAAAAACCUUCAAUUUUUAUCCACCAUUGUUCUUCCUUUUAUUGAUUUUGAAGAAACACACAAACCCACCUACUACUCCAUUUUUAUUUCAUUAUUCUUCACUACAAAAUCAAACUCACCAGCCAUCACCGUUCUUCCCUUUUCCCUCCAUUUUCAUUUCAUUACUCUUCAUUUCAUUUCAUUACCACUCCAAGAUAAAAAAAAUCACCCUUUAAUGCUUCUUCUUUUUCUCAAUCUUUGACCCUUUUCUCUUUGACACUCUUAUAUAUUAUCAUGUUCAGAUUCAGAUUCAUUCACAUAAACAUGAGAUUCAGAUUUAGACUCCGAAUGAAGAAUCGAAGUGAGAUUAUCAAGAAUCUAUGGGCUUACGACAUGGAUGGAUCACAAUGGUUGGUGUGGGAGGGGGUGGAGGAGUGGACGGUGACGAUUUAGUUGGUGGUGGUUGUUUCAUGGUGAAAAUGAGAGGAGAGUGACUGUUGCUCUGGCAUCUGGGCACUGUGUUGUAUGCGAUUCUUGAAUUACGGUGAUUUAUGUGUAUUAAGUGUGUGUUGUUGCUGGAGGCAGAAAUGAAUCCAAUUUUCAAACUUAAGAAAAUGAAUUUAAUGAGGAAGAGAUGAAUUAGGGAAGUUUUAACUUUCUGAAUUGUUGUGUUUCAAUUGUGGUUUUUUUUUAUAUUAACAAUGGAAUGUGAUUAAUUUAAGAUUUUAGUGAAUGGUGAAAGAUUCAAUUAAUUUUUGUUUU
rnacentral:lncRNA from 1 species